GACGAACGCUGGCGGCGUGCCUAACACAUGCAAGUCGAACGAGGUCCAUCCAGUGGCAACACUGGUGAAGACCUAGUGGCGAACGGGUGAGUAACACGUGAGGAACCUGCCCCGAAGACCGGGAUAACUCUCCGAAAGGAGAGCUAAUACCGGAUGCCCCCACCGAGCCGCAUGGCUUGGUGAGGAAAUGGAUUCCGCUUCGGGAGGGCCUCGCGGCCUAUCAGCUAGUUGGUGGGGUAACGGCCCACCAAGGCAUCGACGGGUAGCUGGUCUGAGAGGACGAUCAGCCACACUGGGACUGAGACACGGCCCAGACUCCUACGGGAGGCAGCAGUGGGGAAUCUUGCGCAAUGGGCGAAAGCCUGACGCAGCAACGCCGCGUGGGGGAUGAAGGCUCUCGGGUUGUAAACCCCUUUCAGCAGGGACGAAUCAAGACGGUACCUGCAGAAGAAGCCCCGGCUAACUACGUGCCAGCAGCCGCCGUAACAC
rnacentral:rRNA from 1 species